rnacentral:rRNA from 1 species
AUUGCUAAUGCACCACAUGUGUUUUUCUUUGAAACAAACUUGCUUUGGCGGUGGGCCCAGCCUGCCGCCAGAGGUCUAAACUUACAACCAAUUUUUUAUCAACUUGUCACACCAGAUUAUUACUAAUAGUCAAAACUUUCAACAACGGAUCUCUUGGUUCUCGCAUCGAUGAAGAACGCAGCGAAAUGCGAUACGUAAUAUGAAUUGCAGAUAUUCGUGAAUCAUCGAAUCUUUGAACGCACAUUGCGCCCUCUGGUAUUCCGGAGGGCAUGCCUGUUUGAGCGUCGUUUCUCCCUCAAACCGCUGGGUUUGGUGUUGAGCAAUACGACUUGGGUUUGCUUGAAAGACGGUAGUGGUAAGGCGGGAUCGCUUUGACAAUGGCUUAGGUCUAACCAAAAACAUUGCUUGCGGCGGCAACGUCUACCACGUAUAUCUUCAAACUUUGACCUCAAAUCAGGUAGGACUACCCGCUGAACUUAAGCAUAUCAAUAAGGCGGAGGAA